rnacentral:rRNA from 1 species
GGUUUUUUUGAUAUUGGUUUUAGUGGUCCUGCGUACACUUGGCGUAACAAACAGCAUACUGUUAAUCCUAUUUACAGACGUCUAGACCGAUGCCUUGUCAACUCUGACUGGUGUGCGCAUUAUCCUAAUUCUAAAGUGCUCAACUUACCUAUUAUUCUCAGUGAUCAUGCGCCCAUUCUCGUUUCUACAGACGGUAAUUUUCUUAAGCCGAGGCAAACUUUUAAAUUUGAAAACUGGUGGUUGCUUGAAAAAGACUUUACUAGCUUUGCAAAAUCUGCUUGGAAUAAUUGCACUUUUACCUCUUUUGCAGCAAAGUCUUCUUCUUUGGCAGGUUCUUUGAAGAAGUGGUGUAAGAAGAAAAGACCCUUCCAGUAA